rnacentral:rRNA from 1 species
UACGGGGGGGGCAAGCGUUGUUCGGAAUUACUGGGCGUAAAGGGCUCGUAGGUGGCCAACUAAGUCAGACGUGAAAUCCCUCGGCUUAACCGGGGAACUGCGUCUGAUACUGGACGGUUUGAGUUUGGGAGAGGGACGCGGAAUUCCAGGUGUAGCGGUGAAAUGCGUAGAUAUCUGGAGGAACACCGGUGGCGAAGGCGGCGUCCUGGACCAACACUGACACUGAGGAGCGAAAGCCAGGGGAGCAAACGGG